UGCUUAACACAUGCAAGUCGAACGAUGAUGCCCACUUGUGGGUGGAUUAGUGGCGAACGGGUGAGUAACACGUGAGUAACCUGCCCUUGACUCUGGGAUAAGCCUGGGAAACUGGGUCUAAUACCGGAUAUGACCUUCCAUCGCAUGGUGGUUGGUGGAAAGCUUUUGUGGUUUUGGAUGGACUCGCGGCCUAUCAGCUUGUUGGUGGGGUAAUGGCCUACCAAGGCGACGACGGGUAGCCGGCCUGAGAGGGUGACCGGCCACACUGGGACUGAGACACGGCCCAGACUCCUACGGGAGGCAGCAGUGGGGAAUAUUGCACAAUGGGCGCAAGCCUGAUGCAGCGACGCCGCGUGAGGGAUGACGGCCUUCGGGUUGUAAACCUCUUUCAGUAGGGAAGAAGCGAAAGUGACGGUACCUGCAGAAGAAGCGCCGGCUAACUACGUGCCAGCAGCCGCGGUAAUACGUAGGGCGCAAGCGUUAUCCGGAAUUAUUGGGCGUAAAGAGCUCGUAGGCGGUUUGUCGCGUCUGCCGUGAAAGUCCGGGGCUCAACUCCGGAUCUGCGGUGGGUACGGGCAGACUAGAGUGAUGUAGGGGAGACUGGAAUUCCUGGUGUAGCGGUGAAAUGCGCAGAUAUCAGGAGGAACACCGAUGGCGAAGGCAGGUCUCUGGGCAUUAACUGACGCUGAAGAGCGAAAGCAUGGGGAGCGAACAGGAUUAGAUACCCUGGUAGUCCAUGCCGUAAACGUUGGGCACUAGGUGUGGGGGACAUUCCACGUUUUUCGCGCCGUAGCUAAAGCAUUUAGUGCCCCGCCUGGGGAGUACGGCCCGCAGGCUAAAAC
rnacentral:rRNA from 1 species